rnacentral:lncRNA from 1 species
GAAAUUUUAGCAAUAAGAAUUAUGAGUUGCUAGUUUGUCCUCUUAUUCCUUUUUUUUUGUGUGUUAUUGUACUUACACUUUGGUACCAAUAUCCCAGAACAUUGUCCCGAAAAUGAGUGCUAUAAAGGUUGUGAAGAUAAAUCUGACUGCAGUGUAAGCCGGAUUACGCCAAUAUGACCAGUGUUGUUUCCAGAGGCAAGCCAUACACUGGGUCCAAAAAGGCUGUGAGAAUUCAGAAUCAAAAUGCAGGUCACUUGUACCAGGUCGUCUUCCAUAGACAAGCCAUACAUUGGGUCCAAAAUGACUGAGAGAAUUCAGAAUCAAAAUGCAGGUCACUUGUACCAGGUUGUGGCAUGCUUAGUUCAUCAAUCAAGGCUUUGUUUCUCCUGUAGAGGUCUGACUUCUUGUACAAUUCAGUAAAAUCAACUCCUAAUGCCAUUUCUUGUGAUGAGGCUGUGACUUCUAACAUCCAAGUUGCUGGAUUGUAACCUUCCACUAUUUUGCUUACUCCGGGUAUCGACUGAAACCGUAACAAAAGCUACGCUUAGUUCUUGAUCAUAGAAACUCAGUAUAAGGAACUUAUUUUGUAUAAAGAAACUUACCUCAAAAUAUUUUAUCAAAUGGCAUGAUUGCCGGCCUAAUGGACCAACGUAUAUCUCUUGUCCUCCUCGUUUCAUUAGAAAUAACUGUAAAGAUGUAUUUUUCAUAUUAGUAUCUGAUAUCUAAAAGGAGGGCGUAAGAGAAACCAGAAAUAGAUACAAAAGGUGUUCAAUUUACCUCGUCGAAAGCUUCAAAAAUGUCAAUGCUAGGCUGAUGAAUGGUACAAACAACGGUUCUUCCUGUAUCGACAGUGUUCCUAACAGCUCUCAUCACAAUGGCAGCAGCUCUUGCAUCUAACCCUGAAGUUGGUUCGUCCAUAAAAAUGAUAGAGGGGUUUG